rnacentral:rRNA from 1 species
UACAGAGGGGGCAAGCGUUAUUCGGAAUUAUUGGGCGUAAAGGGCGCGUAGGCGGCCUGGCAAGUGGAAGGUGAAAUCCCUCGGCUUAACCGAGGAACGUCGAUCGAUACUGCUGUUCUUGAGGAUUGCAGAGGAGACUGGAAUUCCCGGUGUAGCGGUGAAAUGUGUAGAGAUCGGGAGGAACACCGGUGGCGAAGGCGGGUCUCUGGGCAAUUCCUGACGCUGAGGCGCGAAAGCGUUGGGGAGCAAACGGG